UUCUCAAUUUCUCAUCUCUCUCCCUCUUUCUUAUCAGUUCCUCUUUCUACUCUCCGAAGCCCGAAAUGACUGAUCGGACGGCAGACGCUUGCCCUCCCUUUGCCCCUUUUCUCUUCUUCUCAUUCUCCUUCCCAAAUCCAAGGACCGGAUCCCCUUUUCAGUUUUUCCUUUUCCUCGUCUUCUCAUUCUCCAUUUCUCCAUCCCAAAUCUGAUCCGAGCAUCCGACGAUUCCUACCCUUCGCUGGAGUGGAGCCUGGAACUGAAGAGAUUGGUGCUCUCUCUCUCUUUGUCCUUUUCAUAUGUUGCGGCCCUUACGGGUUGCGGCCCUUGCCGGUUGGCAAACACCAUCACCCGUGGCCCACACAGGCCGUGGGUCCCAUGGGCCCACCUGCAGAGAUGAUAUGGCCCAACAAUGAUGGUGAGAUCGAAGGAGGUGGUUGUGGGUCCGUCUGUAUCGCCGAGCGUUUUACGGUUGAAGGGUAUGCCGAUGCUAGAAGGGAAGCAUCUUCGCUUUCCUGAAGGAGAGGAUUGAAGGAAAUUUUCUCUGAAGUUCUGGAAUUUUUGAAGAUCUGAGCAUUUCACUUCGUCAACCAACCCAUCUGAUAAAGAUUGUUCUUUGAAAGCUAAAACCCAGAUAUGAAGUUUGGAUAUUGUGGAUGUGUUGAAUUGGAUGUUCUCUGCACAAGUCACAGAUUUGGAAUGUACAAUCAAUGUCUAAGAAGAUGCAUGUACAUGGAGAUUGCUGGAUGCCAGGACUCCAUGGAAGGAAUGCUGAUCUUAGAUGGAAAUAUAGAGAUCUCUUUCAACAAUUCCUCAAGAUGCAAACAAAGAAGCAGAUUAACUAGCUGAGGACAAACUAGAGUGUUGAUGGCAAUUUCCCACUAGAUUCUUUCGUCAUACUCAAUUGGGCGUUUGAGAAUUAAAUCUCUCACCUUUCCCUUUUUGCUUUCCAGCAAGGCAUGCAUCGUCUUUAUGUUUCUUCGAACAUGCAUGUGCAUGUAUGUAUGUGCGUAUUUACAUUCAUUUAAGAUUGACCCGGUUACAAUUUCGUUAUAGCUGAAUUGGUUGCUUGCUUCAUUUGAUGGAGGAUUAGUAAAUAAUUAAAGAACAUUUGAUUAGUUCUAUAUCGUUUGAUGCUUUCU